UAAGUAAAUAGUGAAAGCGUUCGGCUCAACCGGAUAAACAUUAUUUAAACUGCAAAGCUAGAGGACAAGAGAGGUUAUUGGAAUUCCCUGUGUAGGAGUGAAAUCCGUAGAUAUAGGGAGGAACACCGAUGGCGUAGGCAGAUAACUGGCUUGUUCCUGACACUAAGGCACGAAAGCGUGGGUAGCAAACGGGAUCAGAUACCCCGGUAGUCCACGCUGUAAACGAUGGAUGCUA
rnacentral:rRNA from 1 species